GAUGAACGCUGGCGGCGUGCCUAAUACAUGCAAGUCGAGCGAACAGACGAGGAGCUUGCUCCUCUGACGUUAGCGGCGGACGGGUGAGUAACACGUGGAUAACCUACCUAUAAGACUGGGAUAACUUCGGGAAACCGGAGCUAAUACCGGAUAAUAUAUUGAACCGCAUGGUUCAAUAGUGAAAGACGGUUUUGCUGUCACUUAUAGAUGGAUCCGCGCCGCAUUAGCUAGUUGGUCAGGUAACGGCUUACCAAGGCUACGAUGCGUAGCCGACCUGAGAGGGUGAUCGGCCACACUGGAACUGAGACACGGUCCAGACUCCUACGGGAGGCAGCAGUAGGGAAUCUUCCGCAAUGGGCGAAAGCCUGACGGAGCAACGCCGAGUGAGUGAUGAAGGUCUUCGGAUCGUAAAACUCUGUUAUUAGGGAAGAACAAAUGUGUAAGUAACUAUGCACGUCUUGACGGUACCUAAUCAGAAAGCCACGGCUAACUACGCG
rnacentral:rRNA from 1 species